rnacentral:rRNA from 1 species
UACGUAGGGGGCCAGCGUUGUCCGAAGUUACUGGGCGUAAAGAGCGUGUAGGCGGGUCUUUAAGUGAGAGGUGAAAGGUUCAGGGCUCAACCCGAACACUGCCUUUCAUACUGGGGACCUUGAGGGCGGGAGAGGCGAGUGGAAUGGUCGGUGUAGCGGUGAAAUGCGUAGAUAUCGAUCGGAACACCCAUGGCGAAGGCAGCUCGCUGGCCCGCAUCUGACGCUGAGACGCGAAAGCGUGGGGGAGCAAACAGG